rnacentral:lncRNA from 1 species
CUACUACCUCUCAGCUUGCGGACAUCUUUACCAAGCCUCUUACUGGGAUUUUGCAUCAUUCUAUCAUGCUCAAGUUGGGGGUUCAGUCACCCUCCAACUUGUAGGGGGGUGUUGGAGUUAUUGGGCCAUGUCUGCAGCCCAAUUCACUGAAGCAGAGACACAGCAACACAGCAGCCCAAGCCAAGAGCCAAGCCCAGUUGUAAAUUCAUUUAAUUCUGGCUCAAUGGCCCAAUAAAAUGUACAGAAAAUAAUAGUGUAGAUAUUUUGUACAAAUACACUCUUUCUGGAAGUUUCUAGGUUGGACAGUUACAGAGACUAAGCCUCAUUUUCAAUAC